rnacentral:rRNA from 1 species
UACAGAGGGGGCAAGCGUUGUUCGGAAUUACUGGGCGUAAAGGGCGCGUAGGCGGCCUUCUAAGUCGAACGUGAAAUCCCCGGGCUCAACCCGGGAACUGCGUCCGAUACUGGAAGGCUUGAAUCCGGGAGAGGGAUGCGGAAUUCCAGGUGUAGCGGUGAAAUGCGUAGAUAUCUGGAGGAACACCGGUGGCGAAGGCGGCAUCCUGGACCGGCAUUGACGCUGAUGCACGAAAGCUAGGGGAGCAAACAGG